rnacentral:lncRNA from 1 species
CACCAUCGAGAUCAUGGGCUUGAUAUGAAAGACUAUAUCCAGCUUUGGGUGAGAUCGAGGAGCUUAUUUGGAGAGGAAGACUAGAUCGCUUCAUCCACCAAAUAAGGGAGGGUCUAGUGCAACCCCCAAGAGCACCUUGACAUCAGGAAUAACCCCAUCAGGAACCCCUGGUGGAGAAUCAACUUGCGAUAGGCAUUAUUAAUGCCAUCACUGGGGGGC